rnacentral:rRNA from 1 species
UUCGAGUGGCGGACGGGUGAGUAACGCGUGGGUAACCUGCCUUACACAGGGGGAUAACACCUGGAAACAGGUGCUAAUACCGCAUAAGCGCACAGGGCCGCAUGGCCCGGUGUGAAAAACUCCGGUGGUGUAAGAUGGACCCGCGUCUGAUUAGCUUGUUGGCGGGGUAGGGGCCCACCAAGGCGACGAUCAGUAGCCGGCCUGAGAGAGUGGACGGCCACAUUGGGACUGAGACACGGCCCAAACUCCUACGGAAGGCAGCAG